rnacentral:rRNA from 1 species
CGAACGCUGGCGGCGUGCUUAGCACAUGCAAGUCGAACGGUGAAGGGAUCAGCUUGCUGGUUCUGGAUGAGUGGCGAACGGGUGAGUAACACGUGAGUAACCUGCCCCCUUCUUCUGGAUAACCGCAUGAAAGUGUGGCUAAUACGGGAUAUUCUGCGCCUGCUGCAUGGUGGGUGUGGGAAAGAUAUUGUUUCGGUGGGGGAUGGGCUCGCGGCCUAUCAGCUUGUUGGUGGGGUGAUGGCCUACCAAGGCGGUGACGGGUAGCCGGCCUGAGAGGGUGGACGGUCACACUGGGACUGAGACACGGCCCAGACUCCUACGGGAGGCAGCAGUGGGGAAUAUUGCACAAUGGGCGCAAGCCUGAUGCAGCGACGCCGCGUGAGGGAUGGAGGCCUUCGGGUUGUGAACCUCUUUCGCCAGUGAAGCAGGCCUGUCCCUUGUGGGUGGGUUGACGGUAGCUGGAUAAGAAGCGCCGGCUAACUACGUG